UAGGUUAACGAGGCGAACCGGGGGAACUGAAACAUCUAAGUACCCCGAGGAAAAGAAAUCAACCGAGAUUCCCCCAGUAGCGGCGAGCGAACGGGGAGCAGCCCAGAGUCUGAAUCAGCUUGUGUGUUAGUGGAACGGUCUGGAAAGUCCGACGGUACAGGGUGAUAGUCCCGUACACCAAAAUGCACAGGCUGUGAACUCGAAGAGUAGGGCGGGACACGUGGUAUCCUGUCUGAAUAUGGGGGGACCAUCCUCCAAGGCUAAAUACUCCUGACUGACCGAUAGUGAACCAGUACCGUGAGGGAAAGGCGAAAAGAACCCCGGCGAGGGGAGUGAAAAAGAACCUGAAACCGUGUACGUACAAGCAGUGGGAGCACCUUCGGGUGUGACUGCGUACCUUUUGUAUAAUGGGUCAGCGACUUAUAUUCUGUAGCAAGGUUAACCGUAUAGGGGAGCCGCAGGGAAACCGAGUCUUAACUGGGCGUUAAGUUGCAGGGUAUAGACCCGAAACCCGGUGAUCUAGCCAUGGGCAGGUUGAAGGUUGGGUAACACUAACUGGAGGACCGAACCGACUAAUGUUGAAAAAUUAGCGGAUGACUUGUGGCUGGGGGUGAAAGGCCAAUCAAACCGGGAGAUAGCUGGUUCUCCCCGAAAGCUAUUUAGGUAGCGCCUCGUGAACUCAUCUUCGGGGGUAGAGCACUGUUUCGGCUAGGGGGUCAUCCCGACUUACCAACCCGAUGCAAACUACGAAUACCGAAGAAUGUUAUCACGGGAGACACACGGCGGGUGCUAACGUCCGUCGUGAAGAGGGAAACAACCCAGACCGCCAGCUAAGGUCCCAAAGUCAUGGUUAAGUGGGAAACGAUGUGGGAAGGCACAGACAGCCAGGAUGUUGGCUUAGAAGCAGCCAUCAUUUAAAGAAAGCGUAAUAGCUCACUGGUCGAGUCGGCCUGCGCGGAAGAUGUAACGGGGCUAAACCAUGCACCGAAGCUGCGGCAGCGACACUAUGUGUUGUUGGGUAGGGGAGCGUUCUGUAAGCCUGCGAAGGUGUGCUGUGAGGCAUGCUGGAGGUAUCAGAAGUGCGAAUGCUGACAUAAGUAACGAUAAAGCGGGUGAAAAGCCCGCUCGCCGGAAGACCAAGGGUUCCUGUCCAACGUUAAUCGGGGCAGGGUGAGUCGACCCCUAAGGCGAGGCCGAAAGGCGUAGUCGAUGGGAAACAGGUUAAUAUUCCUGUACUUGGUGUUACUGCGAAGGGGGGACGGAGAAGGCUAUGUUAGCCGGGCGACGGUUGUCCCGGUUUAAGCAUGUAGGCUGAUUGUCCAGGCAAAUCCGGAUAAUCAAGGCUGAGGUGUGAUGACGAGGCACUACGGUGCUGAAGUAACAAAUGCCCUGCUUCCAGGAAAAGCCUCUAAGCAUCAGGUAACAUUAAAUCGUACCCCAAACCGACACAGGUGGUCAGGUAGAGAAUACCAAGGCGCUUGAGAGAACUCGGGUGAAGGAACUAGGCAAAAUGGUGCCGUAACUUCGGGAGAAGGCACGCUGGUGUGUAGGUGAAGUCCCUGCGGAUGGAGCUGAGACCAGUCGAAGAUACCAGCUGGCUGCAACUGUUUAUUAAAAACACAGCACUGUGCAAACACGAAAGUGGACGUAUACGGUGUGACGCCUGCCCGGUGCCGGAAGGUUAAUUGAUGGGGUUAUCCGUAAGGAGAAGCUCUUGAUCGAAGCCCCGGUAAACGGCGGCCGUAACUAUAACGGUCCUAAGGUAGCGAAAUUCCUUGUCGGGUAAGUUCCGACCUGCACGAAUGGCGUAAUGAUGGCCAGGCUGUCUCCACCCGAGACUCAGUGAAAUUGAACUCGCUGUGAAGAUGCAGUGUACCCGCGGCAAGACGGAAAGACCCCGUGAACCUUUACUAUAGCUUGACACUGAACAUUGAGCCUUGAUGUGUAGGAUAGGUGGGAGGCUUUGAAGCGUGGACGCCAGUCUGCGUGGAGCCAACCUUGAAAUACCACCCUUUAAUGUUUGAUGUUCUAACGUUGGCCCCUGACCGGGGUUGCGGACAGUGUCUGGUGGGUAGUUUGACUGGGGCGGUCUCCUCCCAAAGCGUAACGGAGGAGCACGAAGGUUAGCUAAUCCUGGUCGGACAUCAGGAGGUUAGUGCAAUGGCAUAAGCUAGCUUGACUGCGAGCGUGACGGCGCGAGCAGGUGCGAAAGCAGGUCAUAGUGAUCCGGUGGUUCUGAAUGGAAGGGCCAUCGCUCAACGGAUAAAAGGUACUCCGGGGAUAACAGGCUGAUACCGCCCAAGAGUUCAUAUCGACGGCGGUGUUUGGCACCUCGAUGUCGGCUCAUCACAUCCUGGGGCUGAAGUAGGUCCCAAGGGUAUGGCUGUUCGCCAUUUAAAGUGGUACGCGAGCUGGGUUUAGAACGUCGUGAGACAGUUCGGUCCCUAUCUGCCGUGGGCGCUGGAGAAUUGAGGGGGGCUGCUCCUAGUACGAGAGGACCGGAGUGGACGCAUCACUGGUGUUCGGGUUGUCAUGCCAAUGGCACUGCCCGGUAGCUAAAUGCGGAAGAGAUAAGUGCUGAAAGCAUCUAAGC
rnacentral:rRNA from 1 species